rnacentral:misc_RNA from 1 species
GAAACUAGUAAAUUAGUUCUUUAAAUAAAACAGAUGAAAAUUACAGCAGCCCAAAAUUCUGAAAAAGAUAGUUAACAUAUUACCAACAAAAAUCAGUUGCAAGAAAACAAUAAACAUUAAGCUCGUUUUCCAGUUCUAGGUGAAGACUUUGGGCAGAGAUCCCAUCGGCCUUUUGCACGUCUUCGCUGGAUAGUUGCUCUGCCACUGGUGGUGCUCAUACGCUUGCGAAAACCAUGUGUUCGAGCCAACGACUUCCUCGACCUAUUCCUCUUAGUCUGACAAAGAGCAUACUUCUUUGCCUGCACCACCAGGCCACGCCUUUUAGUGGUGCUCACUCCAAUGUUGGAAUUGAAGCCAAUGCCAAAUGAUGAACCAGAAAAGGAUGUUGAAGAAGAUAAUGUAGAGAGUGCAGAGGAAGGAAGAAAAGAGCAGUGAAGCAACCCAGAAUGAGUAGAGGCAUUAGCAGCCAUUUUCAAAGAAACAGAAGUAGUCGUUGUUGAAGAACCAGUACGUAGAGAAAGCGAAGCGGAUGGUCUGUGGUUUCCUAUUCCUGAACAUACCCAACUUCCCAUUGACAAAGAAGCCAUUUUUU